AUCCGGGAUACGGACAGUGUCUGGUGGGUAGUUUGACUGGGGCGGUCUCCUCCUAAAGAGUAACGGAGGAGCACGAAGGUUAGCUAAGCAUGGUCGGACAUCAUGCGGUUAGUGCAAAGGCAGAAGCUAGCUUAACUGCGAGACGGACAGGUCGAGCAGAUACGAAAGUAGGUCUUAGUGAUCCGGUGGUUCUGAAUGGAAGGGCCAUCGCUCAACGGAUAAAAGGUACUCCGGGGAUAACAGGCUGAUACCGCCCAAGAGUUCAUAUCGACGGCGGUGUUUGGCACCUCGAUGUCGGCUCAUCACAUCCUGGGGCUGAAGUUGGUCCCAAGGGUAUGGCUGUUCGCCAUUUAAAGUGGUACGCGAGCUGGGUUUAGAACGUCGUGAGACAGUUCGGUCCCUAUCUGUCGUGGGCGUUGGAUGAUUGAGGGGGGCUGCUCCUAGUACGAGAGGACCGGAGUGGACGCAUCUCUGGUGUUCCGGUUGUCACGCCAGUGGCAUUGCCGGGUAGCUAAAUGCGGAAGAGAUAAGCGCUGAAAGCAUCUAAGCGCGAAACUUGCCCCGAGAUGAGUCAUCCCUGAGGCUAUAAGCCUCCUAAAGGGUUGUUGGAGACUACGACGUAGAUAGGCAGGGUGUGUAAGCGUAGCGAUACGUUGAGCUAACCUGUACUAAUUGCCCGUGAGGCUUAACCAU
rnacentral:rRNA from 1 species